CCAGAACUAGAACCCAGAGCUUCUGGUUCCAACCUUGGCCAGAGUCUUUGUGUUGUUUUUAUUUCCCUUAGCCUCACUGUCUAGAACAGUGUAUGGGAAGUAAAAUAAAAUUGAUUUUUUAAAAAUGCAUUAUUUUUAAUUGUUUUAUUAUUUUAGAGACAGAGUCUUGCUAUGUUGCCAAGGCUGGAGUGAAGUCUCAUAAUCAUGGUUCACUGUGAACUCGAUCUCCACAGCUCAAGGGAUCCUCCUGCUUCAGCAUCCCAACUAGCCAGGAAUGCAGAUCAGCCAUAUUCUAACAAUACAUUUCAAAGUACUGCUGACGGAGGCUCCACCUGAAACCUGUUCUCUCAGAUAAGUAUCUUCAUCCCAUUCAUCGUUUCAAGAAAAAUAAAUAAAUAAAUCUUACAGCACGGCAGCAUUUUCAUCUGCUUUGGUUUCAGCCAGAGAUAAACUGUUCCUGCUGCAAAGUAAUUAAUAUCAGUCGCCUGGAAAGCAGAAAUUGGGAGACAACAGGCUCCUCUUUCUUGAUAAACAGAUUGUUGGGUUUCCUUUGGGAGGGGAAGGAAUAACCUUGAAGAGAGGUGAGAAUUGUCAUGGAUUUUGUGUGACUUGUUACUCAAGAUGACUCAUUAAGCUGCCAAGAGCCUCACAGCCCAUCCAAACUUCUCAAACAACCCCUUCAAUUCCAGCCCUUGACCUGAUCUAUGUAGAGGGUUGGAAAAUUCACAGCAAUACAAAGCUAUGGAAACAGACUGUCAUCCACAUAUAUGUUGGGUGAUGGGGGAGACAUGAAGAGUGAGAGACUGUGGAGACAGGAAAGUAGCAACAUUUGCCAUGAGAUUUUCCUCGAAACCAUCUCCUUCUUGAAUUUAGACACUCAUUGUUUAUGUGCAGUGGCCCUAGGUACAGAAGGGUCACCACCCCAAGGAGAACUAUACCCUCCGGACUCAUAAACCAAAUUCUAGCCAGAUUCUCCCGGAAUAAAAUACUACAGUUCAUCCAUUAAGCUAAAUCUCCUUUCAACAAUUCCCUUCUUACCUGGCCCAUGAAAUGAAUAAUGAAGAGAUUAUUUUCUGGGCAAAUUGGUAGAAAAAUCCUGAUGCAGACAGUUCCCCUUCUGAUUGCACCUGACUUCCAUUCAUUGACUAUCACAUCAAGUAGUGGUUCUGGGAAUUCAAAGGAGAGCUCAGCAAAAGAAGAAGAAAAAAAAGCCCACAAAGUUUUUCAAGGUACCUACUGCAGUUAUCAGUUCAUAGAUCUAAAUGUUCGCACUGUAUGCUUGAUUUGCACAUUCCAAACCAAUUUGGUAAUUUUUUUCAUUUUUAUCUACACGCAUGAAGUGAUUUGGAAUACUGAAACAAUUUAGAAUCAUAUUUCGUUUGCAACAGUUCAAUUAACUUAAGUGCUGGAACAUGCUCUCCAACUGGUAACUAGUUUAAUUGGUUACUAUUACAAGAAAUAAAUUCUAUAGUCCUGGGGCCUCCCAGUGUCCUUUCUAGACAGGGCCCGGCCAUGCAGAGGUAUGUGGGAGUGGGAAGGUGAGGAGUGUAGCAAAAUUUCUUACUUAAAAAAGAAAAAUCCAAGAACCCAUUCUCUUAAUAACUAGGUAUGAGUUUCCAUUUUCUGCUGUGAUUUUAUGACCUCCAGUUCCCUUGGAUCAACUUUACAACCACUCAAUAAGCAAGAGAAGGGUGUGGAUCAAGGGUCGAAGACUUUUAAAGCUAUUGCAUAAAUGCACUUAAGCAUGAGCCAAAGUGAUAAAUAGGAAACCAAGACGCAUGUCAGGAAUGCAGCAAAGAAUGAGUAGCUGGGACACUUUGAGCAGCUGUUAAGGCAACUCCAAACCCCUGGAAAGAAGGAUUUCCUUCUGGCUUACACCAAGGCUCAAUUGCUCUAGUUGCAUUUGCAUUGAAAGGCACUACUGCCAAAUUGUACAAGAACACUUAUAGUAGAAAAACAUGUAAAUUGUCAAAAGAUACAAAAUAAUACUGCAUCUCAUUUGUGGAUAUACGGAAAUGUAGUUAAAGAGAAAAAGUGAGUAGGCAUAACACAUACUAACUAUUGGGGAGAGAAUGCUACUGAGGAAGAAAGGAGAAUAAAGGGAUAGGUAUGUGAUUUAAGUGCAAUCUUAAGCAUAUUGAAUAAAAUAUUAACAUCUCAUAAAGCUGGGUAUGAGAUACAUGGGGCUCAAUUCUAUUAUUUUAUGCACUUUCAUGUUUAUUUGAAAUGAUUUCUAAUUAAAAGUUAGAAACACUUAAAAAAAGAAUCAGUCCCUGUUUCGCAGCCAUUGGCAAACCAGUCAUUUCUCAAAAAAUUCUUCUGUCUUAAGAUCACAAACUCUGGAGGCAUCACGCUACCUGACUUCAAACUAUACUACAAGGCUACAGUAACCAAAACAGCAUGGUACUGGUACCAAAACAGAGAUAUAGAUCAAUGGAACAGAACAGAGCCCUCAGAAAUAAUGCUGCAUAUGCAUAUCUACAACUAUCAUCUGAUCUUUGACAAACCUGAGAAAAACAAGCAAUGGGGAAAGGAUUCCCUAUUUAAUAAAUGGUGCUGGGAAAACUGGCUAGCCAUAUGU
rnacentral:lncRNA from 10 species